CUGCUGCCUUCCGUAGGAGUCUGGUCCGUGUCUCAGUUCCAAUGUGGGGGACCUUCCUCUCAGAACCCCUACGCAUCGUCGGCUUGGUGGGCCGUUGCCCCACCAACUACCUAAUGCGCCGCAUGCCCAUCCGUGACCGGGGUCGCCCCCUUUGGCCGGCAGGGGAUGUCCCCUCCCGGCAUUAUGUUGUAUUAGGCGGGAUUUCUCCCGGUUAUCCAUCUGUCACGGCCAGGUUGCAUACGUGUUACUCACCCGUGCGCCGGUCGCCGGCGG
rnacentral:rRNA from 1 species